rnacentral:rRNA from 1 species
AAAGCCUGACCCAGCAACGCCGCGUGAAGGAUGAAGUAUUUCGGUAUGUAAACUUCGAAAGAAUGGGAAGAAUAAAUGACGGUACCAUUUAUAAGCUCCGGCUAACUACGUGCCAGCAGCCGCGGUAAUACGUAGGGAGCAAGCGUUGUUCGGAUUUACUGGGCGUAAAGGGCGCGUAGGCGGCGCGGUAAGUCACUUGUGAAAUCUCUGAGCUUAACUCAGAACGGCCAAGUGAUACUGCAGUGCUAGAGUGCAGAAAGGGCAAUCGGAAUUCUUGGUGUAGCGGUGAAAUGCGUAGAUAUCAAGAGGAACACCUGAGGCGAAGGCGGGUUGCUAGGCUGACACUGACGCUGAGGCGCGAAAGCCAGGGGAGCAAACGGGAUUAGAUACCCCGGUAGUCCUGGCCCUAAACGAUGAAUACUUGGUGUCUGGAGUCAUUAAUGCUCCGGGUGCCGUCGCUAACGUUUUAAGUAUUCCGCCUGGGGAGUACGCUCGCAAGAGUG